rnacentral:tRNA from 1 species
GUUCUGGUUCGCGAAGGAUGGAACGUGCGCCAUGUGCCAGAUGGCGCCUCGGCGCUGGAAGGUGAUGAGGCACCGGAUCUUCUGGUGACGGAUCUC